rnacentral:rRNA from 1 species
UACGUAGGGGCAAGCGUUAUCCGGAAUCAUUGGGCGUAAAGCGCGUGUAGGCGGUUCCGUAAGUCCGCUCUGAAAGCCCAGGGCUCAACCCUGGGAGGCGGUGGAUACUACGGAACUGGAGUACGGAAGGGGAGAUUGGAAUUCCUGGUGUAGCGGUGAAUGCGCAGAUAUCAGGAGAACACCGUGGCUAAGCGGCUCUCUAGUACGUACUGACGCUGAGACGCGAAGCGUGGGGAGCGAACAGG